UCAAAGGCUCUUUUCAGAGCCACUAUGUCCUCAAGCAAACGAACU
rnacentral:ncRNA from 1 species